rnacentral:rRNA from 1 species
AACGAACGCUGGCGGCAUGCCUAACACAUGCAAGUCGAACGAGACCUUUGGGCUUAGUGGCGCACGGGUGCGUAACGCGGGGGAACCUGCCCUUAGGUUCGGAAUAACUCCCCGAAAGGGGUGCUAAUACCGGAUAAUGUCUUCGGACCAAAGAUUUAUCGCCUUUGGAUGGGCCUGCGUUGGAUUAGCUAGUUGGGAGGGUAAAAGCCUACCAAGGCGACGAUCCAUAGCUGGUCUGAGAGGAUGAUCCGCCACACUGGGACUGAGACACGGCCCAGACUCCUACGCGAGGGAGCAGUGGGGAAUAUUGGACAAUGGGCGAAAGCCUGAUCCAGCAAUGCCGCGUGAGUGAUGAAGGCCUUAGGGUUGUAAAGCUCUUUUACCCGGGGUGAUAAUGACGGUACCGGGAGAAUAAGCUCCGGCUAACUCCGUG